rnacentral:rRNA from 1 species
UACGUAGGGUGCGAGCGUUGUCCGGAAUUAUUGGGCGUAAAGGGCUCGUAGGCGGUUUGUCGCGUCGGGAGUGAAAACCCAGGGCUUAACCCUGGGCUGGCUUCCGAUACGGGCAGACUAGAGGUAUGCAGGGGAGAACGGAAUUCCUGGUGUAGCGGUGAAAUGCGCAGAUAUCAGGAGGAACACCAGUAGCGAAGGCAGCUCGCUGGGACGGUACUGACGCUGAGGCGCGAAAGCGUGGGGAGCGAACAGG